GCCAGGCACAGUGGUGCAUGUCUGUAGUCCCAGCUACUCAGGAAGCAGAGGCAGGAGACUCACUUGAGCCCAGGAGUUCUGAGCUGUAGUGUGCUAUGCCAAUUAGGUGUCCACCCUAAGUUCAGCAUCAACGUAGGAGACCACCAGAGUGCCUAAGGAGAGGUGAGCGAGCCCAGGUUAGAAAAGGAGCAGGUCAAUACUUUCCUGCUGAUCACUGCACUCCAGCCUGAGCAACAUAGCAAGACCCCAUCUCUA
ensembl:misc_RNA Metazoa_SRP Metazoan signal recognition particle RNA